CACUAUGCUUAGCCUUAAACAUUGAUUAUUUACCACAUUUAACAUCCGCCUGGGAAUUACGAACACUAGUUUAAAACCCAAAGGACUUGGCGGUGCUUAACAUCCACCUAGAGGAGCCUGUUCUAGAACCGAUAACCCCCGUUAAACCUCACCCUCUCUAGUUUAAUACCGCCUAUAUACCACCGUCGCCAGCUUACCCUGUGAAGGCCUAAUAGUAAGCACAAUUGGCAUAGCCCAAAACGUCAGGUCGAGGUGUAGUGCAUGGGAGGGGAAGAAAUGGGCUACAUUCGCUGUCUGCCAGCGAACACGAAUGACGCAUUGAAACAUGCAGCUGAAGGAGGAUUUAGCAGUAAGCAGAAAACAGAGUGUUCCGCUGAAACCGGCUCUUAAGCGCGCACACACCGCCCGUCACCCUCCCCAAGCACCUGGACCUAAAUUUUCUUAAACCUAAACAACCGCGAAGGAGAGGAAAGUCGUAA
rnacentral:rRNA from 1 species